AGACCCGAAACCCGGUGAUCUAGCCAUGGGCAGGUUGAAGGUUGGGUAACACUAACUGGAGGACCGAACCGACUAAUGUUGAAAAAUUAGCGGAUGACCUGUGGCUGGGGGUGAAAGGCCAAUCAAACCGGGAGAUAGCUGGUUCUCCCCGAAAGCUAUUUAGGUAGCGCCUCGUGAAUUCAUCUCCGGGGGUAGAGCACUGUUUCGGCUAGGGGGCCAUCCCGGCUUACCAACCCGAUGCAAACUGCGAAUACCGGAGAAUGUUAUCACGGGAGACACACGGCGGGUGCUAACGUCCGUCGUGAAGAGGGAAACAACCCAGACCGCCAGCUAAGGUCCCAAAGUCAUGGUUAAGUGGGAAACGAUGUGGGAAGGCCCAGACAGCCAGGAUGUUGGCUUAGAAGCAGCCAUCAUUUAAAGAAAGCGUAAUAGCUCACUGGUCGAGUCGGCCUGCGCGGAAGAUGUAACGGGGCUAAACCAUGCACCGAAGCUGCGGCAGCGAACGUAUCACCCAAGACAACUUUACGGAGUUGACGAUUGACGGAGCGAAGCGACGUCAAAGCGUUCAUUAAAGUCGAGUUGGCUUAGGGAUACGUUCGUUGGGUAGGGGAGCGUUCUGUAAGCCUGUGAAGGUGUGUCGUGAGGCAUGCUGGAGGUAUCAGAAGUGCGAAUGCUGACAUAAGUAACGAUAAAGCGGGUGAAAAGCCCGCUCGCCGGAAGACCAAGGGUUCCUGUCCAACGUUAAUCGGGGCAGGGUGAGUCGACCCCUAAGGCGAGGCCGAAAGGCGUAGUCGAUGGGAAACGGGUUAAUAUUCCCGUACUUGGUGUUACUGCGAAGGGGGGACGGAGAAGGCUAUGUUGGCCGGGCGACGGUUGUCCCGGUUUAAGCGUGUAGGCUGGUUUUCCAGGCAAAUCCGGAAAAUCAAG
rnacentral:rRNA from 2 species